UAAAUUUAGGAUAUUGGUUUGCUAUACAGUUUCAGCAUGUUUUGCGAUCGAAUCGGCCACUUAUUUUGGGUACUUACAUCACACAUUUAGCCUCUAAUUUGAAUCCAUCAGCUGUCAAUUUUAGUUCUUUGAAUUUGGCAUACAAAACGGACUCUUUAGAUACAUACUGUUUGGAUUCUAUGGGGUUACUUGCCGGUACCCCUUCUUCCUUUUAUUUUGUUCCUCCAGGUACAAGAACAGAUC
rnacentral:lncRNA from 1 species